rnacentral:ncRNA from 1 species
CGCAAAGAUAAAAACACUCUUCGGUUGGUAGUCCGAAGGCAUUUUAUAAUGUAAGUAACCUGCCUCCUUGGUUGUCCAUUCUUCGCUUAAUA